UACGAAGGGGGCUAGCGUUGUUCGGAAUUACUGGGCGUAAAGCGUACGUAGGCGGAUUUGUAAGUAGGGGGUGAAAUCCCCAGGCUCAACCUGGGAACUGCCUUCUAGACUGCAAGUCUCGAGAUCAGGAGAGGCGAGUGGAAUUCCGAGUGUAGAGGUGAAAUUCGUAGAUAUUCGGAGGAACACCAGUGGCGAAGGCGACUCGCUGGACUGAUACUGACGCUGAGGUACGAAAGCGUGGGGAGCAAACAGG
rnacentral:rRNA from 1 species